GGCGGGCGUUAGCGCGGGGGGCGCCCGCGGCGGGUGCGGCCCCGCGGGGAGGAGGCCCUAAGGCUUCCUCGGAGCAGACGCAGCGUGCUCGGUGCAGCCCGUCCCUGCGGGGAGGAGGAAACCGCCCGUACGAGGAUGUGGAGCGAGGAGCCGGGCGGAGCGAGGCAGCUCCGGCUGACCGGCCCUCCAGCCCCCAGGAAGCCGGCUGCCCGCGGGGAUCGAGCCCAGGAGGACUCAACAAGUCCUAAUCGAGGUCAGGAUCACAGAAGCGCAGCACCAUGGAAGGGCUGAGCUUGGCAGAGACCUCUGGAGAUCGUCUAGGCCAAGCCCCCUGCUCAAGCAGUGUCACCUCGAGCACAUUGCACAGGAUAGUGUCCAGACUGCCCGGAGGGAAGCGGUCCCAUCACUGUACACAGCCGUGAAGGCUCAGCUUGCCUUUCUGGAAGGAGCGAAUAGCCGUGUGCGUGCAGCGAGGACGCCACGCCGGAGCCGCUCGGUCCAUGGGGGAAGGCAAUGGGUGGUGUCUACAGCCAGAAAAUCCGAGCCACCGCAGGUAGAAAUCAUAUCCCGGGCCAUCGGGGUAAAUCCAGCGUGCUAGACUGACAUGAGGAUAGUGCUGUUUGUUAUCAGAAGAACUGCAUUGACUGUUCAAAGCUUUCUCGAAAAGCAAUCAAGGAAACAAAGCAGCAGAACAAAUAUGACUAAAAGUCUGGCAGCUCAGAGAGAAACCUGGCCUUUCGUCACCUCUGAGAGGAGAGAGAGAAAAAAAAAACAACUCCCGUAGCAGCUAUUGAGGACGCUGUCACCCGUCAGUGUAUGAAAUUUAAGGUGGCUCGAGGAGGAGAGGAGAGACUGCUUUAAUGUCUCCCAUGACAAGCCUCGGGGUUUGCCCCCUGCACUCGCAGCGCGCGGGCCGUCAGAGGAAUGCUUUGGCUGCCAGCGGUAGUCCCUUCGCGGGCCCGAACGGCUCUUCGGGGGCUUCCUCCUUGCUUUCCCCUGUGAGGCAAAGGCACAGCAGCCCCUCACAGCUCCAAAAGGGAGCAGGAAAAGCGAGUGGAAGGGAGGGAUUUCCACGGGUGCCCAACAGGUCAGCUCAGGCCACUGCACGAGGCUUAUUUUUUCAUAGGCGCCUUCAGAUGCCUGCUUCCGAGCGCGGACCUGCGGGAAUAUUGUGCUUCCUCACAGCCACCACCCGGCGCUCCGUGUUGGUGCAUCUUUUCUGUUUUCUCAGCUCAAAUAUGUCUUUUUUUUUCCAGUUGCCUUUUUGAAAGGACACCACUAUUUGGCAUUAUUUGGGUUCGAUGGCAUAUAUGGAAGUCUGCACGGUUCGCUCUGAUUUCGUUAUUUUCUCUUCCGUUGUUUUCAGCUGUAAUAUCUUUCUGGUCAUCUGAACGAAAAAGCUUGGCAGGGUCUGCCUCAACAAGGUGGAAACUGUGCCGUAAUUGCGACAAUAUUUGCAGCCAUAUUUAGACUCUGCUUUGGGGGAAUAGCCACACCGUUUCCGAGCAGCGACGGGCUGCCCAAAAAGCCAAUUGCGUCCAGACCAACGCCGGCUGGCAGUGCCGCAGCGCGUCGUAAGCACCGACAGCGCGGGGAGUUUGCCGGUCCGGCGGCAACUCGUCUCUCGCAUACGUGCAAGUGCCGGAGCAGCGGAAGGCCAGGCGGGAGAAAAAGGAGCCCUGAAGAGGCUGGCGGGAGGGACGGGCUUGGGGCAGGCGCGGGCCGGUGUCGCCGGUCUGCCUGGGUGGACCGCCAGCAAGCUCCGGAGCAAGGGCUUUGCUGGGGAAAGCUGGCCCGGUUGCCCGCAAGCUCUGCGGGGAGCCCCGCUCGCUUCUGGGGGCGACCUCGAGGGCUCCUUUCCUCUCUGCUUUCCUUCGCAAGCCCGUUCCAGGCCUUCCUCGCCCGCCAGGCAGCACCGCGCGCGCCAGCUCCGCGGCUUAAACCCGCUCUCAGGGCUCGGCGUCACCGAGGGCCCUUGCUGACCCUGGGCUGCAGCCCUCCGGGAAUUUUUUUUUUUUUUUGGGGGGGGGGGGAUGCAGCCCGGCCACAGCACAGCUGCCACCCCGCUCGCUCCGAGGAGCGUUCCCCCAGCGUGGCCCCGUCUCCCUCUGCCGGCUGGCGUGGGAAGGAGCAGGCGGCCAAGCAGCGGCUUCUCCAGCCGCAGCUGUCGCACAGCCCCGGCGCCGGGCAGGAACGGGGGGGCCUUGGCAGAAGAGGGGAGCAGCUCGCCCAAACAAGGCCGUUUCGCACGGAGGGAAGGGGGUUUGCCUGAUGCCUGCACAGAGAACGUCUCUGUUGUUGUGCGUCUCCGGGAUUACUUUCGUCUGAAAGCUUGGAUAGAACAGCACCACUGAAAUCGUAAAGCAGUGGUCAAAACUUUUAUUGACAGUGUACAGCACGCUCCAAGGUGUUACCUAACCCAGAAUCCAGUCAGAAAGGAUAGCAAUCCCACGUGCUAUUUUAUUCCCAAAACGAAGCACGUAUAAUAUUAAAGUUAGUGCCAAAGAAACAACA